CCUCAUUUAAGGGCUGGCUGCCACAGGGGUUGGCUCUCUACAUGGAGAUCCUUCCUUUUGGAGUAUUCUGUGAGCCCUACCUUGGGGCAGGUGCAUUCAGGGGGUGACUGAUGAAUACGGGAAGGUCAGAAGUGGCUGAGAUUGAAGUGAACUGGCACUUACUCCUCGUGCUUGCAUAGAUUUUCAAGCUCAUACCAAAGGCAUUCAAUCACCAUACACUGAAGUUUAUAUGAAGUUUGAAAUUUGGACAAUACGACUUAAGAACUGUUAAGGCUCAUCAUUCCUUGGUAUACAAAAAGUAAAAGUUACACAAUCAUGAAGCUCUAUUUAUAAUCCAUCAUUGUCAUGUUUGUCAUUCGUGUUUCCUGGGGAAUCUGGUUUUCUUCUAUUUCUAUCUAAUGCCACCCUUUAAAAAUGUGGUUGCUUUGAUAUUUCUGACUUCUUCUUUGGAAAAAAUUAUGAAGUGAUGCUGUCAAACAUUUCUUCUUUCUAUUUUUUUUUUUCCUAUUUGUAUUGAAUGUUUCCUUAUCAUGUAUUUCAGAAAGGAUCUUGAAAUGUUUCCCUGUAAGUCUGACCUUCCUGAGCAGUGGCUGGCAAAUGGUGUUCUUUGAUAUCCUCUAACCUAAUAAUCCAGCUGCCCAAGGUGGGUUUAAAAUGAAAUCCUGGUUCCAAUAAUAAAACUAUUACUUUAAAAUAUACAUGAGCAGGCCAUAGAAUCGGCCUUGAAUACCACAGAAACAUAAUACACAGUUUCUUCCUGUCCCCUGCAUUACAUUACUCCUCCCACCUUCUCCUUUCAUGUUUGACUGUGCUCUAAUAGAACCUGAACAUUGGUAGUAAUACAGUGCCAUGGUGAAUAAGUUUCUAUAAAAAUUUAUGUGCCAUCUGUGGACACCUUGGUUUGUUGCUGGUAGGAGUUUGAGGUUUUGAGGGGCUUGAUGGUAUUUUUUCCUUACAGAAACUGAUGAACAAGGUCUUUUAGGGAGUGGUAACUGGAACUGGAUGAUGUGGCAGGAUGUAGGCGAAAAAAGGACUCUUGCUUCCCUUAUUCCAUGGAUAAAGGGAGUGAAAACUUUACUUUUAAAUUUCAGAUGGCUUUUCCAGGGGUGAUAUCUGUUCCCAACCUUUUCUAGCAAAAUACAUGGGCACUGGGGAAUUCUAUAAGUACAGAUCCACUGCAAUAUGCUUAUUCUACAGUCACUGACACAAGUAAGAGUUUGCAUCUGUUUUAAGGAAGAGGGGCCAGACACCUACUCAGCUAAUUGGCAACUUGCUUAAUGUUCUGCCUGCUUAACUUCAUUAUUAGGAAAAGGAUCCCUUGCAGUGAAUAUUGAUGUAUCUAAAAAGUCAAUAAAUGAAACAUUUAAUUUUUUAAAAAUCCAUUUGUACAGCACACAGUAAUUUAAUUAAUUGUACUUAGGAACUGAUUGGGAUUGAUUAGUGCUCAUUGCACUUAAUGCUAUUUUCUCUUAUUAUUACUCAGUAACAUUGAUGGAAAAAGGGUAAAACUUCUGUUCUAGAAGUCAUUCCAAUAAGUAACAACACAUGUCAGAACUUUGAAGAGGUUAACAAUUCCCUGUACAGAUUUCUAUAAAAUGUUCAGAAGUGCUGUUUGUGAGAGUUCAGCAUACAAAAUAUGGGUAUAGAUCUUCAGCUGAUAUUUCCCCUGCAUAUGUUGGGCUGUGGUCCUUCUGCUCCCUGUUCCUGGCCGGGAGCUGAUCUUUAAUUCCUUUCUGUUCUUCCCCUAUUUCCAUGGCAGUUUUUAUUAUAAUUCUGGAUCCUACUGACACUGAAUUCAUCAGCAAAUCUGACUUCAGAGGCUUCAGGAUACAGCCUUGUGUUCUUCCAUUAGGAAAGUGCUUGCUCACCUUAUUGCCUUCAAAACGCUGUGGCGAAAGGAGGCUGCUCAGCAUCUCCCUACCUCCCAAAAUGAUGUUUUUACUUUCCAUUAGCCUGCUGCUUUCCCCCCAGCCUGGGAGAUGUGCUUAAAUGAUGAUUUUUUCAGUUUGAAAUAUCAGUUUGAUAUUUGCCAGAAGAGGGUUUCUCCCUACGUCACUUACUGAGCAGGAGCUGAUUCUGGGCCAGCUGCUCAGCAAUGCUGUACAGCAAGUAAUAGUAUAAAGUGUAGAAUGGAUAAAUACACUUCCAAGUGUGAAGUUACCAGUUCUGGAGUAUAAGCAUUCAAUAGGGCCUGAAAACUGGUAAGAAAAUGCUUCCACAAGUGUUGCAUCCAUUAGGAGUUUUGGAGGCUUUUUUAUAUACCUUCCCCUUUUUCCACUUAGCUGCUGACUUUUAUUUUUUUUACAAGCUAGCUCUCAGUGUCUUUAACAGGUAUUAAAAGACGUUAUGAGCUGUACUUUCUGGGGGAAGCAAAGUUCAGCUGAGUUGCAGCUCUUGUUACAAAGAGGACAGCAUUACAAUGUAUCAGAAGUCUAGACUAGACAAAAGUGGGGAAAAGUGUAGGCUUGAAGCACAGCUUGCUCUUAUUUUCUCAUUCGUCCUGGGGCAGGGCUCAGUCAACAGCUUUUCAUUUUAUAUCUCAUUUCUGCUCUGUGUACCAGAUAGGAACAACUCAAAGUGAGUGUGUUCUGUUGUGCACUAAAAUCCACCCACUUUGGGAGUGAAAAAACAGCAGAUGUUCCUCCCUGCUAUUGCUAUGGGAUCGUUUUGGAGCAUAGGCAGGCUUGGGGCUUCAACUCUAGCGUACAUGUAGCUCUUCACACUCUAUCUCUGCAUAAAAAGGGGUUAAUUCUUGUUCAGAAUUAGUAGUGUUUCAGUGAAUGCAUUUUUAUUGCCACAUUUCAGAUUAUGCAAGUGUAACAUCACAUUUUACAAAGCACUUAUUUUCUUUAUGGAAAUCUUGACAUCACAUUUCAAACAGACAUCUUUUUAUUGAAGCACAGCAGAUGUAUCAUGUGUAUAUCUCAGGUCAUCCAUUUUACUUGAUGUUCUGAGUAUGCCUGAUUCUUCCUUUAGCAACUUGCUUCACUGCAGCCCUGACUCUUCUAGAAGAGCAACUGGUUUGGCACUAUAGCACUGCCAUCUUUGUUUCUUAAACCAUCUAUGAAUACUUUCCCCUUUCCCUUCACACAGAUGGCUUGUGUACAGCAUGGGAGCAAUAUCUUUGAGCUGAGUAAGUAGAAGAAUGAUUGUAUUUAAGAGAGAAUGUUUUAUUGAAGAUGAGAUGAGGAAAAAGGUUGAUAAUCUCAGGCAAGGAAGACUGUAGAGAACACUUGCUUGGAGAAAAAGCGGGAUAGGCAGUGUUAAACUUGGCAGGAAGCCUUGGCCUCAAAUGACAGACCAAAUGUGAUUGUGGAAGUGUUUAAAAAACCCAACUAUCAGCUGUCAGGUCUGGAUAUCCUACUGAGCUUCUUUCGUGCCCAAAUGAUUGCCAUGGUUCUUGGGCUCAUUUCAUACAGUAAAAGAUGAGGCAGUAAAUGCUACCAUUUGUCGAGCGUUCCCAGUUCCUCUUAGGCUUUCCUGAAUUGUUUGUUUUUCAGAGUGUUGUAUUCUGCUUCUGUUGAAUACAAUAGAAGUUUUACUUCGUUUCCUUAAAGCUUCAGGACUGCAGACCAUGCAUUUUCUGAUUCUGUCCUUUGCAGGCAGAAGUUUAUUUUGCUAUUGAGAGGAAAGUAGGAUUUUUUUUCCAUGUCUCUUCCAGAUUAGUGGUAGGUGGGGCAGGGCACGCUACUGUCAUGCAGUCUGACAUAUAUUAAUAAUUUUAAACAAUUUUAAUUCCAUUAUUUUGCCUUGUCAAAAAAGAUGCCAUGACCAUUAGGACUUACUGCCUGUGGAAGAAGCACCUAAACCCCACCAAUAUCCUCCAUCUUACCAUUGCUUGAAGAGCUUAUCCGCUGAAUACUUUGCGGAGCUCCUAUGCAUGUGCAUCACAUUACUUUAAGGAAAUACCUGUGUAAGAAGUUUGUUAUGGCUGUCAAAUAUUACACUGCUAAUUCAGUUCUCACAAUGACACUGUGUUGGGAAACCUGCCAAAGAAAUGAUUGAACGUGGUGUAGAUAAAGCUAUGGGAAGAACAGUUUGUGCUCUGAGCGGAGAGAUAAUGAGCAUUUUUGAGAUGUAAUUACAAAUGCAAUUUUUAAAUCAUAGGAUAUUGUUUUGUAUGGUAUACAAAGCUAGGAGGAAGGCUUCUGAAUGUCGAGUUUGUUUCUUAAAUGUUUAAUUAAAUAUUAUCAGACUAAUGAUCA